AAAAAAACAAAAUCUCCCAACGUCUCUCUCCAUCCACUCCCAACAGACCCUGCUCCACUACCUCUCCUCUCUCUCGUACCAGAAAAGACAAAAAAAGAAAAUAGAUAAAUGGGAACGUUACUCUCUCACUCUCAGACCACUAUUCACUCUCUCAAAAAAAAGACAAUCUCUCAAUUUCCUCUCAACUCUGAGCUCACACAAUCCCCUUCCUCUCUCGCCCCAAAUCUCUCACUCUCAAUUCUCAGCUGAAACUCUCACCGACAAACCCUCCUCUCUAAAAUCCGCCGCCACCACCUUCUACCACCACUAAACACUCACCAACCGUCAACCCUCCGAAUCCUUCAUCAUCUUCGUCAUCGCAACUCAACCGUUCACCGCCACCCAAAACCCCUACCGUCGCGGCGACUUCCACCUUCAAACCCUUAAACCACCUUCGAAACACCGUCAAAACCGCCGUCGCUCUCACCGGCAAACUCUCUCCAUCUACCUUCAAAUCGCGCCCUCACCGACAAACCCACACGAAACCUACUCAUCUCACAAUCUCCAAGCCGUCACCAUCCAUCAUCGCUUCCGUCCACAAUCGCGACCCAUCUUCACCGCUAAAACCUAAUCUCUAAAUCCGCCGUCAUCACCGUACCGAAGCCGUCGGUGACUUGUCAGUUCGCAACUAUCUUCGACCUUCAUCAACAGUUUGGGAUUGUGUUGUGUAAUUUUUCUGUUUUUUCAGGGAAAGUCUGAAGCUUUAGAGCCAUGGGUCCAGCACCGGUGACGAUUACAACUAGCCUCUGUUGAUAGCUUCAAAAGGAUUUUCUUAUGAUUCUGGAAACGGUUUCAAGUCGCGCUGAUUCCUCUUCUUCCGCAACAACCACAAAGACCGUUAUUACUCUACCACUCUCAGCACGGCGUCGAAACCGCUUCUUGUCCACAUUAAAGCAAGCCGGGCAGAUUGUUGAAACACCAUGGAUACGGGGAUUGGGUGGAAGAUCUCAGGCUGUUGCUGAUGAUGUACUCCUGAAAUAAGCUCUUGACAACUAUCCGUCUGUACGGUAACAGAUCGAUUUAAGCUUAUUUUAGAAUUAUGAUUGUUUCAUGACAGUAUUUGAUAUCUCUGGAUAAUGUGUGUGUUUGUGAUUUUUAUCUUCCGAUUCGUUCUGGUGGUAGAUGGUAUCAACAUAUUUUAUGCUGAAAAUUUCGUUGAGGAUUGUAAAUUUUUUCUCUGAAUAUUGUUACUCUGUGUCGUUACUGUUUCGUUUUGUGUUGAUACUACAAUAGCCCUGUAUAUAAUCACAAUUUGCGGUGACAUACUUUGAUACCAUUUUUAUUGUACAUAUUCAACUCUUGAUUAUGACUUGUUUUAGCUAUAUCAAAAGGAUUUGUUUUGUAUUGCCUGUGAAGUUUAUAGUUGCUUGUAGUAUCUCGUUCAUUUUUCAUUUGAAUUGAGAUUUGGAUUAUGAAUACCAACGUGCUUGCUUAUACACAACUUAUGCGACUUUCAGUUUGGAUUAUAUUUGGGAAGAUAUUUUAAGUGGGAACUGUAUUAAAAUUCUGCUCUUGAAUUAUUAGAUUAGUUUGUGGAUGGAUCACUAUUGUUGGUGCAAAUGAGUUAUUAGCCCACGGCAUUAUCAGAAUUCUAAUAAUCUCAUGAUUGGUUUACAACGAUUUUCUCAAAUGCAUGUUGUUUUUAUUGCUGAAAUUUAAAUUGGAUUAUCAAUUGCCUAAUGGACUUUAUAGUGUAUAUAUAAGUCUACUUUAAUCAUAAGGCAUNAGUUCCUUCCUUGAAAACACAAACUUUAGAACCUACCCUUGGGAAUUUCUAGUAAUCAGAAAAACCCGUAUUUCUUCCUGUUAUCCUGACGUACCCGACGUGUGAAUAAUCUUAAGUCUGUAUUCCUUUGCAAAAAACAUGGCAAAAUUUCAUGCAUUUGCAUAUCAUCAACAUGCAUUGCAUAUCAUCUCCCAGAAACAAAAUCUCACACCAUGUUCUGCCCUUUGUCCAGUAAACGCUGACUACUCGACACCGGUACGAGACACGCCGCAAUUACAAGAUGACACUUGAACAGCUUGAAGCUAACCAAGUUUCGAUGAGGACCGACAUUGACUCCAUGCAGGCAAAGAUGGAUCGCUUGCUUGAGACCAUGUUACUCUUGGCUCAGAAGGAGAAGGAUGCUGAGACUAACGCCGAAGCCAGGAAAAUUGCUGCCCAAUUUGGAUCACCAUCGCUCAGUAUCCCUGGAGUGAUUGACCUUGAUGGUAACCCUAAUCAGCCUAGAGAAGGACCGAUCCCUAUUCCGAUCCCAAUGGACAAUAUAAAACCCCACGAGCAUUCUACUGUAUCUGCUCGACACGGAUCUGUGAUAUGUGAUGAAGAUCCAUAUGACGCUUUCUUCAUGCCACAGCCCGUCCAGCCUGCUGUUGGAGGUCUCCCAGACCCAGCUGUUGACAGACUCCAUGCGUUGGAGGAAAAGUUUAAGUCCUUGGAGGUUCACACUACUCCCGGUUUGGACGCCGUCGAUAUGUGCUUGGUGCCAGGCCUUGUGAUUCCACAGAAGUUCAAAGUCCCGGACUUUGACAAGUACAAAGGGAUCAGCUGCCCAAGAACACACCUCAGAGCUUACUGCCGCAAAAUGGCCGCCCACAUCAGUAAUGAUCAACUCCUGAUUCAUUACUUCCAAGAUAGUCUCAGUGGGGCAUCUUUGGAGUGGUACAUGCAACUGGAGAGAGGACAGGUCCAAUCAUGGAGAGACCUUGCUGAAGCAUUCCUCAGGCAUUAUCAGUACAACACUGAUCUAGCACCCAAUCGCACCCAACUGCAAGACAUGACUCAACGCAACAAUGAGUCAUUCAAAGAAUACGCCCAGCGGUGGAGAGAGCUAGCAGCUCGUGUUCAACCUCCUCUCUUUGACAAAGAGCUAAUUGACAUGUUUAUGGGAACCCUACACACCCAGUACAUGGAGAAGAUGGUAGGAUCCAGUUUCCCAACUUUUGCUGAGGUCGUCUCCGUGGGAGAACGAAUCGAGAGCCAGAUCAAGAAGGGGAAACUACCUUGCGCUGCUAAUGCUUCAAGUGGGAUGAAGAAACCUUAUCCUAAUCUCCCAAAGAAGCCAGAAGGUCAAACCAAUUCCAUAAUGGGAGGAGGAGGAUAUAGGGCACGCCCGUAUGCUCCUAUGCCUUAUAAUCAGGUUGCCGCUGUCGUCCCGACACCAUAUCAGCCUCCAUAUCAGCAACCCCAUCAACAACAAUAUCAACAGCCUUAUCAACAAACAGCUUAUCAGCAUCAGAAUCAACAUCGACGUGCUCCACAACCACGUCCCCCCAAUCAGCAGAGGGCAAGGAGGCCAGAAAGGCAUUUCGAUCCUUUGCCAGUAUCAUAUAGCAAGAUCCUCCCCUACCUGCUAAAGGAUGGAUCGGUCGUUCUGAAGGAGAUAACACCUGUAACUCCACCAUAUCCUCCAGGCUACGACGCCAAUGCUCACUGUGAGUAUCACAUGGGUGCUCCAGGGCACACAAUAGAGAACUGUAAGGCUUUCAAGCACAAGGUUCAAGAUUUGGUUGACAGUAAAGCACUUACAUUCACGCCAGUGAGGCCAAACGUUGCAACAAACCCCAUGCCGGCGCAUGCAGAAUCAAGUGAAGCUCGAAGGUAAAGCUUCCCACCGGCCUAAACAAGCAGAGCAAUUCCGCUGAAGAACCCAGAGAUGAAGGCUUGUUCAUUUGAAUGAAGGCAAUCCUGAUGCCAUUUUUACCAUUUUGCAUUCUUGUAAUUUGAUCUUGUUUGUCUAAGUACUGUACGCUUUAAACAUUGUUAUUUGUAUUUGGUUUUGUUAAUGGGAUGGUUAUGCAUGCUUUGAAUCAAUCUUUCNGGAUGAAACCCUGCUGAUGAUGUACAGGCAUUGUUUCAAAUCCCCAAACACUGGAGAGAUAAGGAGUUAAUCCCUAGUCAACCACUUCGAGCCUAGAAGUAGGAGUUUCUUUCAGAUCUAAAAAACCUUUACGCUUAACCUGGGGCAGGGUAGUGUUCAGUUAACCUGACUACACAUACAAAUUACAAAGGUGAAGUAUCCCAUACGAGGAUCAACCAUAUGACACUCUUCACACACAUCAUGAAGUGUCGAAGGAACCAUACAAAUCCAGAAUCUAUGUCGGUUGUUCUUCAAUGACCAAUGUCCUGGCAGUCACAAUUAAAAAAAAGGUCGAAGAAAGAGCCCGCUAAGUCGAACACCCUAAAAGGAGACUUAGGCAAAAAACAGGGGCAAUCCCGAUGGAUUAAAGCUUCAAACAAAGCGGUCCAUGCAAAAGUUAGGGAUCAAAACAAAAAAUCGAAAGAGACAAUGAAAGUCCUCAACAAAAGCAAAACAAGAUUCAGUGACCACCAUACCAAAAUCAAAGGGUCGCCGACAUCCAAAAAAACGAAAUAAGGUGGCUGCCAUUCCAAGGGACUUUGAACCACCAUCUUUAUCCUUACACAUGCAAGAGAAGAAUGUGUGUGAAUUAACUGAACAUAGGAUUGGAGAUCAUCAUGAAGAAGGGGUGGGUUAAAAUAAACUUUGAGCCUUAUAUCCUUUUGUUUCAAAACCAUCGACCAACACAGCAACGCCUCAAAAGACCAAGUUGAGUAGUGGUUUAUUCUGAAAGCAUACAUACAAGUUAGUAACUGACUCCUAAAUAUUUUCCAAUAUUCUCCUCUCACUAUAUCACUCACACACUAGCUAAAUCAAGCACCGCGUUUGGACACAUGAUCCACUCGCCACACACUACCACAACACUUCCCAAAUGAAUGAUUAUUUUUCAAAACUUGCAUAACUGUUGCAUUAACAUCACCAUUUCGUAGAUAACAAUUCUUAAUUGUCAGUCAGUGCUUGACAUCGGAAAAUUCCAACAAGGAGUAAUUCAACGGGCACUUGAUUGUUGGUGCUGACACGAAUCCAGACCAUCCUGUGAAUCAGGGGCAUGGCAUCUUUUGAUCAUAUUGACCUAAGAAGUAGUCUGUGUAAGACAAAUCUCCAAGCAUCGGUUGAUCAGGGAGAAAAACACUUCAGUACUCGGCCCGUCUGAAGCAGGUCCCUCAAAGGCUAAUCAGGGGCAGACCAUAGCCAGAUUUGGACAUCAGGAAACAAACUCAGACCAUGUCAUGGGAUAAUCACUCCUAAGGUUUCUUGCAGGGAGAAUUCCUUUGAACACCCUACAAACAGGGGCAAGACAAGUUGCAAGGGGCAAAAUUCCCUUCAUAUCUUCAAGACAGUCAGGCAGAUUGCGUCAAACAUUAGUGACUGCUUGAAUUCACAACCAAAAUGUCAAAAGUUCGUACCAGUACAACAUCAUGCCUUGACAAGAAUCCUUGAGGCACGUCAAAAGCACAAUCAUCAUGCGCUGAUCACGUCGCUAUGCUCAGUUACAAGCUGGCCAAACACUUCAGAAGAAGAAACCAAGAUCUUCUCAAAGACAAAUACUCAACAUAUCAGCAAGAGAUCAAACCUGGGGCACCAAGAGUAUCCACAUCCAUUUCGUGUUCAUCAUAUCAUCAACUACUGAGUGUCGGGAAUGUCAGAUCCUUUCACCAAUCAAUAGCAUAUCCACAUUGACAAUUACCAAAAAAACCUAAAGCCCACAUUGUUGGCACCCACAUAAAACCAAAUAUAACCAACUUUGGUUUCCAGAAGAUGCAUUGCCUUUGAAAGGGGGGCCAAUCCCAAACAAACCAAUCAUUCUUUGCAUACAAACAUGCAUUUCAUGCAUCAUAUGCAUCACCUCAUACAUAAUACAUACAUAUCAUUCAUGUACAUAACACAAAUCAAGAUCCAAGGUUUAGUCGUAGGCAUACAGGCCAACCCUCAGUUGAGUCGUUAUUUUUCUCUGAGUGAGUUCCUACCCUACUAUCGGGCGUUCCCCAUUGAGUUACAUCCUUCAACCUUUUGUUGAUAAGAUGUUAUCCUCAGCUUAGUCAAACAAUGUUUCUUUAAACACCUAUUUUUUUUUUCACGUUGAGCGUCCCUCAAUGAGUCGUUUCCCAUAACCUUUUGUUGACAGAAAUUACAUCUCCCCAGAGAACAUUGGCUCUGCAACCUUUUGUUGUUGAUACCCCCAAGCAAGUCUUACCCAAUAAUGUCCCAAUACUACCCAACAAAUCGGGUUUACUGGACUUUGACAGUAGCCUUAUUUUUCCAAUAUUUUUCUCACUACCAUCCUUUUGGUGAAAGUCCAUGGAGGAAUAAUACCAGUCAUCACCUUGUUUAUGAUCACCGUUAUCCUUUUGGUAAUGGUAAAUUCUUGACAUUUGUGAUCUUACUGUCAUCCUUUUGGUGUCGAAGAUCAUUGAAGUUUUAAGCUAACCUUCAUCCUUUUGAAUCACCUUGUUUAUGAUCACCGUUAUCCUUUUGGUAAUGGUAAAUUCUUGACAUUUGUGAUCUUACUGUCAUCCUUUUGGUGUCGAAGAUCAUUGAAGUUUUAAGCUAACCUUCAUCCUUUUGGUGAUGGUGACCUCUGCAAUUAUUACACCCCACUGUCAUCCUUUUGGUGUCAGUAAUAUUUGAAGUCAUUAUAACUUAUUAUCAUCCUUUUGGUGGUAACGAGUUUCGAAGUUAUGAUUCCACCUUCAUCCUUUUGGUGAUGGUGAUUGUUGAUUCAUUAUCAUCCUUUUGGUGAUAACGAGUUCUGUUGUUUGUAGCGCCUUCAUCCUUUUGGUGAUGGUGACUAUUGACUUAUUAUCAUCCUUUUGGUGGUAACAAGUUUUGUCGUUUUAACAAUACCUUCAUCCUUUUGGUGAUGGUGAGUGUUGACUUCUUAUCAUCCUUUUGGUGAUAACAAGUUUGUGUCUUGAUCUUACCUUCAUCCUUUUGGUGAUGGCGAUCAUUUGUGUUGUCAGCUUAUUAUCAUCCUUUUGGUGGUAACUAAGUUUUGUCGUUUGACAAAUACCUUCAUCCUUUUGGUGAUGGUGAUUGUUGACUUCUUAUCAUCCUUUUGGUGAUAACAAGUUUGUGUUUUGAUCUUACCUUCAUCCUUUUGGUGAUGGUGAUCAUUUGCGUGUGUGCUUCUUAUCAUCCUUUUGGUGGUAACAAGUUUUAUCUUUUGAUUAUACCUUCAUCCUUUUGGUGAUGGUGGUUAUCAUCCUUUUGGUGAUAACAAGUUUGUGUCUUGAUCCUACCUUCAUCCUUUUGGUGAUGGUGAUCAAUUGUGUUGUGUUCUUAUUAUCAUCCUUUUGGUGAUAACAAGUUUGUGUCCUGAUUAUACCUUCAUCCUUUUGGUGAUGGUGAUUAUUGAAGUUAUCUGACUUAUUAUCAUCCUUUUGGUGAUAACAAGCUUUGUUGUUGGAUCUUACCUUCAUCCUUUUGGUGACGGUGAUCUUUGAAGUUUAUGAGUUAACUAUCAUCCUUUUGGUGAUAGCCUUGAUCCUAUACUCUCAGUAAUGGAAAAAUUUACCAGAAUGACCAUCAUCCUUUUGGUGAUAGAAAUCUGUGAAUUGUGUCUAACUUUCAUCCUUUAGGUGAUAGCGAGAUUUGUUGUUGAUCUGACCAUCAUCCUUUUGGUGAUGGCGAUCUUUGUUGCACCCACUGUAACCAUUAUCCUUUUGGUGAUGACUACCUUAAAAGCUCAGCUUAUCCAUCAUCCUUUUGGUGAUGACAAUCCUCAAAAUCAUGGUGAAUCUCUGUCAUCCUUUUGGUGUCAGAAAACCAGUCCCACCUUUGUCUUCACAUCAGAAAUAACCUGUGCCAGAUUUGAAUGUUGACUCGAGGGUUGGCAUUGAUCGAACAUCCUACCCCCAUUACCUUGGCAUCCAUUGCAUUUUCAUCUGCAUCUCUCCAUUGCAUUUCAAAGGACAAAAUUUGGAUCCUUUAGUAUUUAAUUACCUUCCACCACGAAUGUAUGAUGACCUUUAUCAUUCUUACUUUCUAGUUCAAGAUAAUUAAAUAGGGGCAGCUGUCGUACCCCAAUUUUGUCCGGGCAUUUUUAAUUUUUUCAAAAUUAAUUUCAGUUUCAUUUUUGCAUCAUACGCAUAGCAUGACAUACAUUUGCAUCAUGAAUAAACACCUAAAAUGUCAGUCAGAAGGAAUUUAUUUGAGAAUACAGAAAAAAUCGGUUGAAUCGUUAAAAUUUGAGAAAAGACUGUAUUUUUAAUAAGUAGGUUUUGUGCUGACAAUUUUAAUGUGACUGGUUUAUUUAUUAUUAUUAUUUUUUUUAUUUUUUUAUUUUCUUUCUUUUUUCGAAUUAAAUUUGUACUCGAUUUUUUUUAAUUGGUCAAAUAUUAGUUAGAGUUUUUUUUUAAAUAUUAUUUAAUUAAAUAUUAGUUAAUGUUUUUUAUAUUAAUUAGUUUUUUUAUAUUAGUUAGAUUUUUUCUAAAAUAGUAGUUAAUUUUAGUUUUUAAAUAUUAAUUAGUUUGUUUAGUUAGAUUUUGUAAAAUAUUAGUUAGAGUAUUUUUUUUUUAAUAUUAAUUAGUUUUUCUAAAUAUUAGUUAGUUUUUAAAUAUUAGUUAGAUUUUUCUUUUUAAUAUUAAUUAGUUUUUUUUAGUGUUAAUUAGUUUAAGAGUUAGUUAGCUUUUUUAUUAGUUAAUUUUUAAAUAGUAGUUAGUUAGAGUUUUUAAAAUAUUAAUUAGUUUUUUUAUUUUUUAUGAAUAUAUGUAUUUUACAUUGGAUUCCAAUCCAUAAAAAAACAAAAAAAACAAAAUCUCCCAACGUCUCUCUCCAUCCACUCCCAACAGACCCUGCUCCACUACCUCUCCUCUCUCUCGUACCAGAAAAGACAAAAAAAGAAAAUAGAUAAAUGGGAACGUUACUCUCUCACUCUCAGACCACUAUUCACUCUCUCAAAAAAAAGACAAUCUCUCAAUUUCCUCUCAACUCUGAGCUCACACAAUCCCCUUCCUCUCUCGCCCCAAAUCUCUCACUCUCAAUUCUCAGCUGAAACUCUCACCGACAAACCCUCCUCUCUAAAAUCCGCCGCCACCACCUUCUACCACCACUAAACACUCACCAACCGUCAACCCUCCGAAUCCUUCAUCAUCUUCGUCAUCGCAACUCAACCGUUCACCGCCACCCAAAACCCCUACCGUCGCGGCGACUUCCACCUUCAAACCCUUAAACCACCUUCGAAACACCGUCAAAACCGCCGUCGCUCUCACCGGCAAACUCUCUCCAUCUACCUUCAAAUCGCGCCCUCACCGACAAACCCACACGAAACCUACUCAUCUCACAAUCUCCAAGCCGUCACCAUCCAUCAUCGCUUCCGUCCACAAUCGCGACCCAUCUUCACCGCUAAAACCUAAUCUCUAAAUCCGCCGUCAUCACCGUACCGAAGCCGUCGGUGACUUGUCAGUUCGCAACUAUCUUCGAC
rnacentral:lncRNA from 1 species